rnacentral:rRNA from 1 species
GGAAUUAUUCCCGGAGCUCGCCUGCUUGAGGGUCGGUAA